rnacentral:misc_RNA from 1 species
ACGCUGUGACUCGUUCAAUUGAUUCAAAACGGUACUUGAAGUGUAUCGCGGUAACUAAAGGACGUAUUUGACGAUAGCCAUGCUAAACCGUCAGAAGUUGGUUUUCAAAGUUUUCGAAAUAGUUCCUCAAAGAGCCAUCUAGAAGCUAUACGAGACGGUGGAGAUAAUAAGCUCUACAAUUGGCUAAAAGCUUUUCGUUCGAACCGGGCACACUGUAUAGGAUAGCCACGGAUGAGGCGGGAUUAUCGAGAAGAACCUGUUAGCUGCUACCCAAAACGAAAGAAAUAGAAGGACAAACUAUGAAGAGCAUGAGAAAAAUAUGGGCGAGUAUCCCGGCAGAAACACGUACCAGCGAGAGGGAGGAAAAAUUCGUGGAAUCGAUGCGAAGGAUCUACGAGAGAAGAUACGAAUUCUCUUUUAAUAGGAUUAAUUUCGGCAGUUGAUAAUACGACUCGCGAACCCAGAUAAGCGAUUGACGAUGCAUGGUGUCGAAUCGUACAAUAAAUUUGAUCCAGCUAACACGGUCCUCCACUUAAGUGCAAAUACGGCGCCGAGGAUGCAAUAUGUUGCG